UCCAGGGCAGUGGCUACAAUAUUGGCCUGGUGGUAGGAGACAAAGUCAUCGUUUCGACUGGAGACCUGUGAUCAAAAGUGUGACUCAGGGAUCGAGUCAAGUCUGCUGCGGCAAUUCAUUUAUUAAAGACUCGGCUGACAAUAUCAAUGCCCGGAUCUGCAAAUUUACCGAUGCCACUAAAGUUGGUGAUAUCGUGGAUUGUGGAAAAAAAUGUAACCAGCAAUACAACAGGACGGUGAUGAAUGAGACGCUGCCUCGCCUGCGAAGUAUUUUCGGCAGUUUCAGCUUUUAGUUCAGGAACAAAGAAGGACUAUCCAGCUUUUCCAGCUUGCUCCGCCAGUCAGUCCGAACCUGCCUGGAUGUCUCGAAAUUUCGGUAUGGAUCCCCCUUCACCAUUCCUCUUCUCCUGUUCCCUCUCUUACCGUAUCUCCUUGCUUGCCCAUCGCCUCCCUCUGGUUCUCCUCCUCCCUUUGCUUUCUUUCAUGUCCAUCUGUCCACUCCUAUCAGACUCCCUCUUUUCUUUUGCCAAACAACUUCCCAACUGUUUGCUUCACCCCAGCCCCUGCCGGUUUCACCAAUCGCCUUGCUUCUCCUUUUCCUCUCUCCACCUUCUAAUUCUACCACUCAUCUUUUUUUGUCUCCUCCAGUCUUGCUGAAGGGUCUCGGCCCGAAUUCUCUUUUCCAUUGAUGCUGCCUGGCCUGCUGAGUUCGUCAAGAACUUUGGAGAGGAAUCCAUUGGGCGAGACGUGGAUGUUGUUUCACACCGUUGUGUAGGAGACGAAAAAUUUGAGGCCCGCAGCUUUAUUAUCUGGGACAGGUUUGUGGAAGAAGACGGCACCAAACGGAAAGCUUAUGUAUUGACAUACAAGAAAAGAAUCCGUGGAAUUCAUUGCUGACGAAGCCAAGACAUUUGGUAUAUUAAAAGCGGAUGGCUCUAGAGGUAAAGUAAUUAGAUAUAUUUAAAGCGGACGUAAGUAAGUUAUUAAAUAUUAAGAGUGACACACUUUAUGGGAAGACGGCAGGAGAACAGGAUUAGGAGGGAUAAUAAAUCAGCCACGAUGUAAUGGAGGAUCUGACUCCAGGGGCCGAAUGACAUAAUAAUGUUCCUAUGUCUGAUGAUAGAAUGGGGGAACAGACUCCAUUGGCCGAAUGACAUAAUAUUAUUCCUAUGUCUGAUGAUGAUCACCCGACGGAGAAUCUCACCAGGUCCCUCAACACCAGCUCCAUAGCAAAGAAAGCCCAGCAGCGUCUCUACUUUCGGCGAAGUCUGAGGAAAGUCCAUCUCCCAC